rnacentral:lncRNA from 1 species
UAGGAAUGCACGCACGCACAUGCACACACACACGCACACACACACACACACACAGACAAGGACACGCGCACAUACACACGCACACACUAAGAUGAGCAGCAGUCCCCAGGCCUCUACACCUCUUACCACCGAUAACACAAGAGCUUGUUUUCAUCUCAGGGAGACUGCUAAUCAUCUGAGGCCCGAGGACUCACUCAUAUAAAGGACAGUCAAGGGGUAUCUCCAGGGACCAGAGAACAGUGGAGCAGAACAGCCUCAGAUGCAGGACAGACUGGGCUGUAGAGUAUCUGAGCUCUUCUUAUUUUGUUGCCUGGGGUAGAACCAUGUCCACUUUAUUAAUAUGACAGCCAUUAAGAACAACAGUAACCAAAAACCCCAACAAAGCAACCACAAAAACACCAACCACAGGGUUCUGAAGAUGCUGGGAGGGCGUUUACAUAAUUUCAAGGUGGAUGACAUCCUUAUCUAGACCAGAGGUCAACAAACUUCUUUUAAUAAAAUUUUGACUUUGUGGACCAUGCCCUGCCACCCUAGCUCGCUCCUGAAAAUGCACGCAUCAUUCCGAGAACACGGCUUGUUCCACGAACAUGUGAGAAAAGCCUCAGGCUGAGGAUAGCUCAGAGGGAAAGUACUUUUAGCAUGUCUAAGGCCCUGGAUCUGACUGCUAACAAUACACAAAGCCAGGUGUGGUAGCGUAGACCCGUGGUCCCAGAAUUCAGCAGAGAGGCGGCAGGAGGAUUAGAAGUUCAAAGUCAUCCUCAGUCACAUAAUAAGUUAAGGCCACCCUGAGAUACACGAGAGGUUGUCUCAGAUCACCAGCCUCCCACUUCCCAAAAAUACACCUAAAACUGCAGUAUGCGGAGAGACCGGUGCCCACCUGUCCACAAACCGUAACCCACACAGGGCCAGCUUCGAUCGUUGUUUUGUGUAAGAUACCCAGAAGUGUUUCCUAAUGGGGGCUUUGCAGGGUGCUCCAAGAGCCAGCCAGCAGUGAUGUCAUCCAAUACCAAGAUCAAGUACUGCCACUGUGAACAGCAGUGUUGCUAAGGAUGGAUCCAGGCCUAUCGAUCAUUUCCGAUCGUUUCUGUACCAGCAACAAUUUGUAUGAGGUCUAAAACAUUUACCACAUAACAAGACAAACGGAGGGGAAUCCUAGUAAAGACCAGGGAUCACUUAAAGCAAUGAGCCACUGCCACUUGUCAACUGCAUAGCAAAGGUUUACCUAGCACAGGCCUGAUGGCAAAGGCUACUGGGAAACAGGGCUGGUGUGAACGGGGAAUUCUAUUCUUAUGCAACAUAGUAGAUUGCCUUCUAGUGUGGUGCUCCUACCUCAGUUUGUAGAACACAGCAUCUAUGCAGUGAGUGGUAGCCUUGCCUCUGACCUUUCACAGCCUCGAGAGAGAGGCAGCCUGCCACUGCCUGGUGUGUUUCUUGUGUCUAGAGUCCUAACAGUGCUGCGAUCCGUGCGAUUUCCACCAUCUGACCCGGAACCUUCAGGUCGUCCCGGCCCCCAAGGCUCAGCCCAGAAAAUAAGGACAGAAAAGGCUUCCUUCGAUUUGGUUUCCAAAUGGUUUUCAAUAGUUCAGUAACAAACCCCCUUUAGUGGUGACUAGUGUUUUUUAGUAUUUUUCCCAUCAUAAAAAAAGUUUCAGUUUUCAGUCUGGUUUUGCUGUGUUCUAUGUCUCUUCUUUCCUCUCAGAAUUAGUUGAUCUCGCUGUAGAAAAGCAGAUGUGCAUAGCAUCAUUGAUCAGAGGAAAUACCUACAGAAUAGUGGACUGCACCUUUAAGCAGUAGAGGAUAAACUACCUACAAAUGUGAAUUUCUUAGUUUCAUUUAAAAGUAUACGGCUGUUAACCUUUCGUGUGCCAAAUCUUAAGUUACAUUUUUCCUUCAAAGCAAUGUACUUUUUUCUACAUAUGUAGUGUGUAGUUAGCAUAAAUCAUUGGUGCCAUGAAGAUUAUUUUUAAAUUCAAUAAAUAUUUAAAUACCGUAAAAGAA